UACUCCAGAGCGUGGCAAUCAUG
rnacentral:miRNA from 1 species